rnacentral:rRNA from 1 species
GAUGAACGCUAGCGGCAGGCUUAACACAUGCAAGUCGAGGGGCAGCAUAAUGGAUAGCAAUAUCUAUGGUGGCGACCGGCGCACGGGUGCGUAACGCGUAUGCAACCUACCUUUAACAGGGGGAUAACACUGAGAAAUUGGUACUAAUACCCCAUAAUAUCAUAGAAGGCAUCUUUUGUGGUUGAAAAUUCCGAUGGUUAGAGAUGGGCAUGCGUUGUAUUAGCUAGUUGGUGGGGUAACGGCUCACCAAGGCGACGAUACAUAGGGGGACUGAGAGGUUAACCCCCCANACUGGUACUGAGACACGGACCAGACUCCCACGGGAGGCAGCAGUGAGGAAUAUUGGUCAAUGGACGCAAGUCUGAACCAGCCAUGCCGCGUGCAGGAUGACGGCUCUAUGAGUUGUAAACUGCUUUUGUACUAGGGUAAACUCACCUACGUGUAGGUGACUGAAAGUAUAGUACGAAUAAGGAUCGGCUAACUCCGUG